AAUUUUUUCUUAUGAUGAGGAACUUUUAAGAUUUACACUCUUAGCAACUUUUGAAUAUACAAUACAGCAUUUUUAAACAAUAUUAUUAAUUAUAGUACAA